AAUAUCAGGCUAUUAAAUUAUUGGUUCAGAUUGCUUUAUAAGUGGAGUAGCUUGAGCAGAUAUUCAUAUUGAGUAGGAUUCUCUGGUGUAUACGAGAUCAGGCACUCAGCUAUAACCACAAUUUUCCGUCAUGAGCUUCAAAAAAAUAUUCUAUGCUAUUUUCAUCGUAGCCCUGACUACUCUCCAUUCAGUUACAGGUCAACCGCCCAUUCGACCGCGUGGCGGCAGAUCAUGUUCGAGUAGGAGCUGCUGAGUGAGGAAAAUAAAUCUCAUAGUGGUUGUUAAAAUUUCUAAAACUAACUAAAUGAGGGUCUUCACUGUUUGUUCAUGUUUUUGAAGGAAAAAUACACAUUUUUCAAAAGUUGA